rnacentral:rRNA from 1 species
CCUACGGGAGGCAGCAGUGAGGAAUAUUGGUCAAUGGCCGGAAGGCUGAACCAGCCAAGCCGCGUGAAGGACGAAGGUGCAAAGCAUUGUAAACUUCUUUUGUCAAGGGACAAAAUCAGGCUCGAGAGCCUGACCGAGGGUACUUGAAGAAAAAGCAUCGGCUAACUCCGUGCCAGCAGCCGCGGUAAUACGGAGGAUGCGAGCGUUAUCCGGAUUUAUUGGGUUAAAAGGGUGCGUAGGCGGGCUGUUAAGUCAGCGGUAAAAGUCCGGGGCUCAACCCCGGCGAGCCGUUGAGACUGGCUGUGUUGAGAUGUCGAGAGGUAUGCGGAAUGCGCGGUGUAGCGGUGAAAUGCUUAGAUAUUGCGCAGAACUCCGAUUGCGAAGGCAGCAUACCGGCGGCGAUCUGACGCUGAGGCACGAAAGCGUGGGUAUCGAACAGGAUUAGAUACCCGUGUAGUC